CAGACCUCAAUUUUCAACAAAAGUUUAAGGCUAAGGAAUAUUUCAUGGCCAAGAGGAAUUCUGCCAUUAUUUUCUUGGAAACAAGAGUAGAAGAUAGGCGAAAUCUGCUUGAGAUGUACUUGCCAGAGAUUGAGAAGAAUUGAGGUGAUAAAAGGAACGCAUAGGUGACCCAGAUUACUCCAUUGAGAAAAUUGGUGAGAGAGAGCAGAAAUGGCAUGUAUUUAACACUCUUUGUCCUUAUAUCCUUCUUCAUGAUAAGUGAUGGAGACAGGUGCAUGCAACAAUUGAAGAACACAGAUGAGAUGACAUCGAAUAUGUCCGCUUGUGCUAUUGCAAAGUGUGAUUACUGUGGAAAAGGUUGCUCGGUUUUCACUUCUAAGUCAGGGUCACAUGUUGGAAGGAAAUUUUUUAAAUGUUCAAUGAAUUGCCCCUUCUUCAUGUGGGUUGAUCAUCUUAAGAUGUGUGAGUGUGGGAACGGUCAGUGUAAGGUCAGAACUGUGAAAACAAGUGCAAAUUAUGGUCGAUAUUUUUGGUGCUGUCCACAAUCAACUGGG